AAGUCGUAACAAGGUCUCCGUAGGUGAACCUGCGGAGGGAUCAUUACUGAGUUAUUACAACUCCAACCCCGGAGGGAUCAUUACUGAGUUAUUACAACUCCAACCCAUGUGAACUUACCACUGUUGCCUCGGCGCAGAGGCCUGCUGAGACUCGUUUCUCGGUGGGUGGACGCGCCGGUGGACUACUAAACUCUUGUUAAUUUUGGUAUUCUGAAUCAAAAACUUAAUAAGUUAAAACUUUCAACAACGGAUCUCUUGGUUCUG
rnacentral:misc_RNA from 1 species